UUUCAAGGCCCGAAAGGGUGAUGCAGCAACGCCGCGUGAGGGAUGAAGGCCUUCGGGUCGUAAACCUCUUUCGAUCGGGAAAAAUGGCCCGUUGAAGAGACGGGUCUGAUGGUACCGGAUGAAGAAGCCCCGGCCAACUACGUGCCAGCAGCCGCGGUAAUACGUAGGGGGCAAGCGUUGUUCGGAAUUACUGGGCGUAAAGGGCGUGUAGGCGGUGCGGUAAGUUGGGCGUGAAAUCCCCGGGCUUAACCCGGGGCGGUCGUUCAAAACUGCCGUGCUAGAGUGUGGGAGAGGGAAGUGGAAUUCCCGGUGUAGCGGUGAAAUGCGUAGAUAUCGGGAAGAACACCGGUGGCGAAGGCGGCUUCCUGGCCCACAACUGACGCUGAGGCGCGAAAGCUAGGGGAGCAAACAGGAUUAGAUACCCUGGUAGUCCUAGCCCUAAACGGUGAGCACUUGGUGUGACCCUUCACGGGGUCGUGCCGGAGUUAACGCGUUAAGUGCUCCGCCUGGGGAGUACGGUCGCAAGG
rnacentral:rRNA from 1 species